GACGAACCGAGCGAACGUUGUUCGGAAUCAUUGGGCGUAAAGCGCGCGUAGGUGGCUUCGUAAGUCCGUUGUGAAAGUCAAAGGCUCAACCUUUGAAAGCCGAUGGAUACUGUGAAGCUAGAGUACGGAAGAGGCGAGUGGAAUUCCUGGUGUAGCGGUGGAAUGCGCAGAUAUCAGGAGGAGCACCAAUAGCGAAGGCAGCUCGCUGGGACGUUACUGACACUGAGGCGCGAAAGCGUGGGGAGCGAACAGG
rnacentral:rRNA from 1 species